UCUCGGCUUAUCACCGGCAGUCCCCUUAGAGUGCCCAACUGAAUGCUGGCAACUAAGGGCGAGGGUUGCGCUCGUUGCGGGACUUAACCCAACAUCUCACGACACGAGCUGACGACAGCCAUGCAGCACCUGUGUUCCCGUUCCCUUUCGGGCACACCCGGCUUUCACCAGGCUCCAGGACAUGUCAAGGGUAGGUAAGGUUUUUCGCGUUGCAUCGAAUUAAUCCACAUAAUCCACCGCUUGUGCGGGUCCCCGUCAAUUCCUUUGAGUUUUAACCUUGCGGCCGUACUCCCCAGGCGGUCGACUUCACGCGUUAGCUUCGUUACUGAGAGUGUCAAACCCCUGCCAGUAGUUG
rnacentral:misc_RNA from 1 species